GAAAUGCGAUACGUAGUGUGAAUUGCAGAAUUCCGUGAACCAUCGAAUCUUUGAACGCAAAUUGCGCUCGAGGCCUCGGCCAAGAGCAUGUCUGCCUCAGCGUCGGCUACUACCCUCAACUAAAUUUCCAUUGUUUCAGUGGAAAGGCAGUUGGAUAUGGCUGUCCAGUCUACCCUUUGGGUUGCCGGUCAGCUGAAAUAUAUUCACGCUUUGGGGGCUGCUUUCCUUUCGAGGAAAGGCGAGUUCCGAUUUGGUAGGUGACCUUUGCCGGUUACAUGCCUUCGUUGCCCGCUAUGCUUCCCAUAAGUGUUGUGCAGGACGCCUUUUGGCUUUCGACCUGAGGUCAGGCAAGAACACCCGCUGAACUUAA
rnacentral:misc_RNA from 1 species